rnacentral:misc_RNA from 1 species
GAAAAAUAAUAGGGAUAGAAGGUAAUUAAGAUCUUACACUAUGGGAUUUAUGUAAAUUAUACAAUAAUUAAAGCAUUCAAAGUAAGAAAGAGGGAGAGAGAUUUGGGUCCAAAUUGGGUUUUUGUCCGCUUUGAUCGAAAUUUUGGACCCACCUGUUUGGGCUUUUGACCCAUUUAUAUUUUUAGGCCUUCAACCCACUUCUUUAUUAGGUCUUAGGCCCAUUGUACCUGUACCUAAAUCUUUUAAAAUCUCCCGACUUGCUUCAGAUUCUUCAACUUCAAAACUGUUCGCCUUUUAUGCGGGUUGAAUCGAAA